CUUGGAACUUACUAGGUCCUGACAGCUAUCUUAUUCUUGCAUCCUGUCUGAUCUUCCAGGAAUACCAUAACCUCCGCGCUGCUGCCUUCAACUCCCAGGCUCAGGAGCUGGGCCAGAAAACCGAGGACCUGACCAACAGCCGGAGAGCCAAUGCCGACUUGAGGGAGCAGCUCAGCGGGGCCCAGACCGCCCUUCGUGCCAAGGAAGCCGAGUGCAACGCCUUAGUCCUGGAGCGCGACCGCCCGGCCAAGAAGUUGGCCGACCAGGAGGAGAGCCACAAGGCGGCCCUGAAGAAGGCGCAGGAUAGCGAGGACGCCCUCAAAGCUGAGUUCGAGACCGAAGCGGCGGGCUGGGCUGAGGCAAAACAAGCGCUGAGCGAGGGCUACGGCCGGGUUGAGGAUCUGAUCGAUGACUACUUCCCCGGCUACUCCGUCAUUGCCACCCAGGCCAUCGAGGCCCACCGCGAGGCGCGCCGGCAGGCGG